rnacentral:ncRNA from 1 species
GAGGGAAGUAUGGGGUAGUACGAGAGGAACUCCCAUGCCAUGCCUCUGGUUUCUGGAGUUUGUCGAACGGCAAGUGCUCCGACGCUAUCGCACGGUGGUUCUCGGCUGAACGCCUCUAAGCCAGAAGCCAAUCCCAAGA